AAAGUCCGAACCCGGUAAAGCCCAGCAAGCAGCCGGUACACAACCUUGGAGCCAAAGCCGCGAGGCAAGGCUUAAGCGUAGGCAGUGGAGUGCGAGAGCCGCAAUGCGAAAGCGUGAAGCAAUACAGCCCCGUAAGAUAUAUAGAGUGGAAGCCGAUACCAUCCUCUGGGUCGCAGGCAGUAAUACGGCAGUCGAUAAACGAGAAUGCUGUAGAUUCCGUCGGGGUCAAAGAGC
rnacentral:ncRNA from 1 species